rnacentral:lncRNA from 1 species
UAGAGCCUGAGUCAUGUUGACUAUUAAUCAAGUGCAUUAAGUUUGGGUCAGGCAAAGUGGUGGCAAAAGUUCAUGAUGCAGGACAGAGGAAACAAGUGGACAAGACAAGUGGAGCCCAGCUCUGUUCGCAUGGGAGGCCAGAGACGGUGUCUGGCUUUGUCACGCAAGCUGGAGUUUGGUGGUGUGAUUGCAGCUCACUGCAGCCUUAAACAACUGGGCUAGGUGAUCCUCCCAUCUCAGCCUUCCAAGUAGCUGGGACUACCGGUGCACACCACCAUGCCUGGCUGUUUUUAAUACGGGGUUUUGCUGAGUUGCUCAGGCGCUCCUCAAACUGCUGGCCUCAAGUGAUCCUCCAGCCUGGGCCUCUCAAACAUAAAUAGGCUGGGCGUGGUGGCUCACGUCUGUAAAGAUUUAAAGCGGAAAAGCGGAAUGCAGUGAAAUAGCAUGAGAAAGAGCGUUUUUAUGUACAUCACAGACAAGCCUUGUUCUGCUGAAGAGGUGAUGCCACGAGGUGGGGAGGAGCUCACUUCAGGCACCACUCCCACUUCCAUUGCCCGCAAAUCCAGGAAAGAAAUGACUAAUGAACUCUAGUGAUCGCAAA